UACAGAGGUCUCAAGCGUUGUUCGGAUUCAUUGGGCGUAAAGGGUGUGUAGGCGGUUGCGCAAGUUGGUUGUGAAAUCUCCCGGCUCAACCGGGAAACUGCAGCCAAAACUGCGCGGCUAGAGUGGCAGAGAGGAAAGUGGAAUUCCCGGUGUAGUAGUGAAAUGCGUAGAUAUCGGGAGGAACACCAGCGGCGAAGGCGACUUUCUGGCUGCUAACUGACGCUGAGACGCGAAAGCUAGGGGAGCGAACGGG
rnacentral:rRNA from 1 species